ACACUCCUACGGGAGGCAGCAGUGGGGAAUCUUGCGCAAUGGGCGAAAGCCUGACGCAGCCAUGCCGCGUGAAUGAUGAAGGUCUUAGGAUUGUAAAAUUCUUUCACCGGGGACGAUAAUGACGGUACCCGGAGAAGAAGCCCCGGCUAACUUCGUGCCAGCAGCCGCGGUAAUACGAAGGGGGCUAGCGUUGCUCGGAAUUACUGGGCGUAAAGGGAGCGUAGGCGGACAUUUAAGUCAGGGGUGAAAUCCCGGGGCUCAACCUCGGAAUUGCCUUUGAUACUGGGUGUCUUGAGUAUGAGAGAGGUGUGUGGAACUCCGAGUGUAGAGGUGAAAUUCGUAGAUAUUCGGAAGAACACCAGUGGCGAAGGCGACACACUGGCUCAUUACUGACGCUGAGGCUCGAAAGCGUGGGGAGCAAACAGGAUUAGAUACCCCGGUAGUCCCAU
rnacentral:rRNA from 1 species